rnacentral:misc_RNA from 1 species
AACGCACAUUGCGCCCGCCAGUAUUCUGGCGGGCAUGCCUGUUCGAGCGUCAUUUCAACCCCUCAAGCUCCGCUUGGUGUUGGGGUCCCUACGUGCGCCGUAGGCCCCGAAUUCUAGUGGCGGGCUCGCCGCGAUCCCGAGCGUAGUAGUAUUGCCCUCGCUCAGGGUGUCGCGGCGGGUGCCGGCCGUGAAAGAAGACCCAUUUAAAAUACAAGGUUGACCUCGGAUCAGGUAGGAAUACCCGCUGAACUUAA